rnacentral:rRNA from 1 species
UACGUAGGGAGCGAGCGUUGUUCGGAAUUAUUGGGCGUAAAGAGCGCGUAGGCGGUCUGGUAAGUCUGGUGUGAAAUCCCGGGGCUUAACCCCGGAACUGCACUGGAUACUGCCAGGCUUGAGUGUGGGAGAGGAGAGUGGAAUUCCCAGUGUAGAGGUGAAAUUCGUAGAUAUUGGGAGGAACACCGGUGGCGAAGGCGGCUCUCUGGACCACAACUGACGCUGAGGCGCGAAAGCUAGGGGAGCAAAC